CAAGUUAGUUAGAAAAGCGAGUCCCCUGAGAGGGUAAGCUAAGAAAAUUUCAAGUCCCCUGAGAGGGUGAGGUACAAAAGAGCAAGAUAUUUAGAAAAGCGAGUCCCCUGAGAGGGUAGCUAACAGAAAGUGAGUCCCCUGAGAGGGUAAGAUACAAAAGAGCAAGAGAUUUAGAAAAGCGAGUCCCCUGAGAGGGUAAGCUAAGAAAAUUUCAAGUCCCCUGAGAGGGUGAGGUACAAAAGAGCAAGAUAUUUAGAAAAGCGAGUCCCCUGAGAGGGUAGCUAACAGAAAGUGAGUCCCCUGAGAGGGUAAACGACAGAAAAUGCAAGUCCCCUGAGAGGGUAAGUUACAAAAGAGCAAGUUAGUUAGAAAAGCGAGUCCCCUGAGAGGGUAGCUAACAGAAAGUGAUUCCCUUGAGAGGGUAGGCUAAGAAAAUGUCAAGUCCCCUGAGAGGGUAAGGUACAAAAGAGCAAGAGAUUUAGAAAAGCGAGUCCCCUGAGAGGGUAGCUAACAGAAAGUAAGUCCCCUGAGAGGGUAAGAUACAAAAGAGCAAGAGAUUUAGAAAAGCGAGUCCCCUGAGAGGGUAAGCUAAGAAAAUUUCAAGUCCCCUGAGAGGGUGAGGUACAAAAGAGCAAGAGAUUUAGAAAAGCGAGUCCCCUGAGAGGGUAGCUAACAGAAAGUAAGUCCCCUGAGAGGGUAAGAUACAAAAGAGCAAGAGAUUUAGAAAAGCGAGUCCCCUGAGAGGGUAAGCUAAGAAAAUUUCAAGUCCCCUGAGAGGGUAAGGUACAAAAGAGCAAGUUAGUUAGAAAAGCGAGUCCCCUGAGAGGGUAGCUAACUGAAAGUGAGUCCCCUGAAAAGGGAAAAGACAGAAAAAGCAAGUCCCCUGAGCGAGUAAGCUACGAAAAUAUCAAGUCUCCUGAGAGGAUAAGUUUCAAAAGAAUGCCUUAAGAGAGUAGCUAACAGAAAGUGAGUCCCCUAAGAGGGUAAACGACAGGAAAACCUAAGUAAGCGGACUGUUACGUGACUUACAAGUAUUUGAAUUGCUAUUUGCUGAUAAAAUUAAGAAAUCUUGAAUUGAGAUAAUGUGAGUUUAUCGAAUGGGAAGUGAAAAAAGGGAGACAUGUGAAAAUAUAACAAAAUAAUAAUAAUUUUAUAUAAUAAUAAUUAUAUAAAAAUAUAAUAAAAUAAUAAUAAUAACAUCGAAAUAAUGCGAAUACCUGAAUUGAUAGGUGAGUUUUCAGAAAUAACCACUGUAAAAAAACUAGAACCCUGAGAGAAUAGCUAACACGAAACAAGUCUCCUAAAUAGGCCAAAACAGCAAGUACUCUGAGAGAAUAUCUUACAGAAAGCGAGUCUUUUUUUCCAAGUAGCAUGAUUCAAAUAUGUAAUUAGUAAAAAUGUGAUGAGAAUCUAUAAAGCGACUUGUAUAAUUGAAACUUUGAAAGUUUUCGAUCUCUUAUACUCAAUUUAAAGUAAUUAGCUAGAAGGACUAUUAUUUGCGUUACAUAUACUGCCAUUAACACAGAAUGAAAAAAGGGUAAAGAGCCUUAAAAAAACUCUUUUAUAUGUAGUAUGCUAAGAAAAUAGAGCACCAGUUACAAAAAAAAUUAGAGAAUGUCAAGCAUUUUCUGAUUUUUAAAUAUUGGAAGAUUUCGAUCAGUUAUGCUCAUGUUGACUUUAUGAGCCCGGAAAUAGAUAGAGAAAUAGAAUACGAAGCUAACACAUUUCGUUGUUAAAAAACUAAAGCAAUGUAUACAAAUUGCUUACAUUAACAUUUUUAAAUUUUGCUGUGCCCGUUAAAGUUUAAAAGAAUUCAAUUUUUUUAGGAAAAAAAAGUAAUAAAAAAUGAAUGCAAUAAAUAAGUUCAUAAUUAAGAUCGGAAUAACUGUUCUGAAAGAGUCUCCUAAGAGGGUAGCUGAAUUGGAACGAAUAUAAGCUAAAAAAAUGCGAGUUGCCCGAGAGGGUAGCUUUUGAGAACAUAGAAAUGGUAACAUAAAAUUCGAAUGUGUAAAACGUUUUGUGCUGUUGAAAAUUUGAAACAUUUCGAUCUCUUAUGCUCACCUUCAAUCUUAUAAGCCUGAAAAACUUUUUCCGAAGUAAUAUUUUGAAAUCACAGAUAGAUAAUUAAAUAAAGUUAAAGUGCUGAUGUAGUUUUGGAAAAUUUCAAUCUUUUAUGAUCACUGUUACGUUAUGAGUCUUAACACGUUUUGUGUUGUUGCAGUUUUAGAAGAUUUCGAUCUUAUAUGCUCACUUUGACAUCAUGAGUCUGGAAAGCUCUUUUCAAAGUUACAUUUCAAAAGCAUAGAUACUCAGUAAUAAGAAAUUAAAAUGUGUAAAGCGUUUUUGAUAUUGAAAUUUUAGAUGACUUCUAUUACUUAUGCUCAUUUUGGCGUUAAGGAAUAUUGUGGGAGUUAAAAAAUGUUCCGAAUGUCAUUCAAGACCACGCAAACAAACUAAUUAUAACCUUGAUUUUUUCUAGAAGAAGAAGGUAUCCGGAGAAGAAAAAAUUUGGAUCAAACGUUGAAAAAAGGCAGUUGCUGAAAUCUUCAAUCGUGGUGGAUACAGGAAACGAACACUAUUCAAAAAGAAUCGUAAAGCUGUUUGGGCAAUACUAAAUUUACUUUUGUCUUUUCAGGGUCAUAUAAAGAUUCAAGUAAACAGUUCUAUAACAGAUAGCGGAAUCGUAAUGAUGAAACAUGGAAUUGGUGAUCAACCAGGAAGAAGCUUUUUUUUAUUCUCAAGUAAUUCUCAAGUAUGAAGAAAAAACAUCUUAUAUCAUGCAACAUAAUUUUAAAUAACAUUUACGUACUAGGAGUAGAGGAAGGGGUGAAUGUAGGGAUUAUGAGAGGUUAGCAGCAGAGUAUAGUUAAAACAAAAUAUGUUCGUGAACCAACGAACUGUUUAACUAG